GACGAACGCUGGCGGCGUGCUUAACACAUGCAAGUCGAACGGAAAGGCCCUGCUUUUGUGGGUUGCUCGAGUGGCGAACGGGUGAGUAACACGUGAGUAACCUGCCCUUGACUUUGGGAUAACUUCAGGAAACUGGGGCUAAUACCGGAUAGGAGCUCCUGCUGCAUGGGGGGGGUUGGAAAGUUUCGGCGGUUGGGGAUGGACUCGCGGCUUAUCAGCUUGUUGGUGGGGUAGUGGCUUACCAAGGCUUUGACGGGUAGCCGGCCUGGGAGGGUGACCGGCCACAUUGGGCCUGAGAUACGGCCCAGACUCCUACGGGAGGCAGCAGUGGGGAAUAUUGCACAAUGGGCGGAAGCCUGAUGCAGCAACGCCGCGUGCGGGAUGACGGCCUUCGGGUUGUAAACCGCUUUCGCCUGUGACGAAGCGUGAGUGACGGUAAUGGGUAAAGAAGCACCGGCUAACUACGUG
rnacentral:rRNA from 1 species